AGAGUUUGAUCAUGGCUCAGGAUGAACGCUAGCUACAGGCUUAACACAUGCAAGUCGAGGGGCAGCAUGGUCUUAGCUUGCUAAGGCCGAUGGCGACCGGCGCACGGGUGAGUAACACGUAUCCAACCUGCCGUCUACUCUUGGACAGCCUUCUGAAAGGAAGAUUAAUACAAGAUGGCAUCAUGAGUCCGCAUGUUCACAUGAUUAAAGGUAUUCCGGUAGACGAUGGGGAUGCGUUCCAUUAGAUAGUAGGCGGGGUAACGGCCCACCUAGUCUUCGAUGGAUAGGGGUUCUGAGAGGAAGGUCCCCCACAUUGGAACUGAGACACGGUCCAAACUCCUACGGGAGGCAGCAGUGAGGAAUAUUGGUCAAUGGGCGAGAGCCUGAACCAGCCAAGUAGCGUGAAGGAUGACUGCCCUAUGGGUUGUAAACUUCUUUUAUAAAGGAAUAAAGUCGGGUAUGGAUACCCGUUUGCAUGUACUUUAUGAAUAAGGAUCGGCUAACUCCGUGCCAGCAGCCGCGGUAAUACGGAGGAUCCGAGCGUUAUCCGGAUUUAUUGGGUUUAAAGGGAGCGUAGAUGGAUGUUUAAGUCAGUUGUGAAAGUUUGCGGCUCAACCGUAAAAUUGCAGUUGAUACUGGAUAUCUUGAGUGCAGUUGAGGCAGGCGGAAUUCGUGGUGUAGCGGUGAAAUGCUUAGAUAUCACGAAGAACUCCGAUUGCGAAGGCAGCCUGCUAAGCUGCAACUGACAUUGAGGCUCGAAAGUGUGGGUAUCAAACAGGAUUAGAUACCCUGGUAGUCCACACGGUAAACGAUGAAUACUCGCUGUUUGCGAUAUACUGCAAGCGGCCAAGCGAAAGCGUUAAGUAUUCCACCUGGGGAGUACGCCGGCAACGGUGAAACUCAAAGGAAUUGACGGGGGCCCGCACAAGCGGAGGAACAUGUGGUUUAAUUCGAUGAUACGCGAGGAACCUUACCCGGGCUUAAAUUGCAGAUGAAUUACGGUGAAAGCCGUAAGCCGCAAGGCAUCUGUGAAGGUGCUGCAUGGUUGUCGUCAGCUCGUGCCGUGAGGUGUCGGCUUAAGUGCCAUAACGAGCGCAACCCUUAUCUUCAGUUACUAACAGGUUAUGCUGAGGACUCUGGAGAGACUGCCGUCGUAAGAUGUGAGGAAGGUGGGGAUGACGUCAAAUCAGCACGGCCCUUACGUCCGGGGCUACACACGUGUUACAAUGGGGGGUACAGAGGGCCGCUACCACGCGAGUGGAUGCCAAUCCCAAAAACCUCUCUCAGUUCGGACUGGAGUCUGCAACCCGACUCCACGAAGCUGGAUUCGCUAGUAAUCGCGCAUCAGCCACGGCGCGGUGAAUACGUUCCCGGGCCUUGCACACACCGCCCGU
rnacentral:rRNA from 1 species